CCAAUAGCAUAUAUUAAAGUUGUUGCAGUUAAAAAGCUCGUAGUUGAACCUUAGGCCCGUGCGGGCGGUCCGUCCUCAGGGCGAGCACUGCCUCGUCGCGGGUCUCACCUUCUGGCGAGCGUGGAUGCCAUUCACUUGGUGUCGGCGGGAACCAGGACCUUUACCUUGAAAAAAUUGGAGUGCUCAAAGCGGGCUCGUACGCUUGAAUACAUUAGCAUGGAAUAAUGAAAUAGGACGACGGUUCUAUUUUGUUGGUUUCCGGGACGGUCGUAAUUAUGAAUAGGGAUAGUUGGGGGCAUUCUUAUUCAAUUGUCAGGGGUGAAAUUCUUGGAUUUAUUGAAGACGGACUACUGCGAAAGCAUUUGCCAAGGAUGUUUUCAUUAAUCAAGAACGAAAGUUGGGGGAUCGAAGACGAUCAGAUACCGUCGUAGUCUCAACCAUAAACUAUGCCGACUGGGAAUCGGGCGAUGUUAUUUUUCGUGACUCGCUCGGCGCCCCGAG
rnacentral:rRNA from 1 species